AGAAUCAUUCGCAAUGGGGGCAACCCUGACGGUGCGACGCCGCGUGGAGGAUGACGGUCUUCGGAUUGUAAACUCCUGUCAUCGAAGAGUAAGGCUUCAUGGUGAAUAGCUGUGAAGAUUGAUAGUAUUCGACGAGGAAGGGACGGCUCACUUCGUGCCAGACGCCGCGGUAAUACGAAGUUCCCCAGCGUUGUUCGGAAUCACUGGGCGUAAAGGGUGCGUAGGCGGCGUGGUAAGUCAGAUGUGAAAUGCCGGGGCUCAACUCCGGAACGGCAUCCGAUACUGCCAUGCUAGAGUAGUGGAGGGGCGACUGGAAUUCACGGUGUAGCAGUGAAAUGCGUAGAUAUCGUGAGGAACACUAGUGGCGAAGGCGAGUCGCUGGACACUUACUGACGCUGAUGCACGAAGGCCAGGGUAGCGAAA
rnacentral:rRNA from 1 species